rnacentral:rRNA from 1 species
UUAGCAGAGAUGCUUUGGUGCCUUCGGGAACUCUGAGACAGGUGCUGCAUGGCUGUCGUCAGCUCGUGUUGUGAAAUGUUGGGUUAAGUCCCGCAACGAGCGCAACCCUUAUCCUUUGUUGCCAGCGGUCCGGCCGGGAACUCAAAGGAGACUGCCAGUGAUAAACUGGAGGAAGGUGGGGAUGACGUCAAGUCAUCAUGGCCCUUACGAGUAGGGCUACACACGUGCUACAAUGGCGCAUACAAAGAGAAGCGACCUCGCGAGAGCAAGCGGACCUCAUAAAGUGCGUCGUAGUCCGGAUUGGAGUCUGCAACUCGACUCCAUGAAGUCGGAAUCGCUAGUAAUCGUAGAUCAGAAUGCUACGGUGAAUACGUUCCCGGGCCUUGUACACACCGCCCGUCACACCAUGGGAGUGGGUUGCAAAAGAAGUAGGUAGCUUAACCUUCGGGAGGGCGCUUACCACUUUGUGAUUCAUGACUGGGGUGAAGUCGUAACAAGGUAGGCGUAGCGAG